ensembl:misc_RNA Y_RNA Y RNA
GGCUGGUCCGAAGGUGGUGAGUUAUCUCUGCUGAUUGUUCAGUUACAGAUUAGACUGUUCCACUCUUUCCCCUCUUCCCACUAGUGCACUUGACUAGUCUUUU